rnacentral:tRNA from 1 species
GGGUAUAGCUUAGUGGUAGAGUGCGUGCUUAGCAUGCACAAGGUCCUGGGUUCAAUCCCCAGUACCUCCA